rnacentral:rRNA from 1 species
AGUCGAACGGAAACGAUGGAAGCUUGCUUCCAGGCGUCGAGUGGCGGACGGGUGAGUAACGCGUAGGAAUCUGCCUGAUAGUGGGGGAUAGCCCGGAGAAAUCCGGAUUAAUACCGCAUAGUCUAUUCGUAGUAAAGAGGGCCUCUAUUUAUAAGCUCUCGCUAUCAGAUGAGCCUACGUCAGAUUAGCUUGUUGGUGAGGUAAAAGCUCACCAAGGCAACGAUCUGUAGCUGGUCUGAGAGGAUGAUCAGCCACACUGGGACUGAGACACGGCCCAGACUCCUACGGGAGGCAGCAGUGGGGAAUAUUGGACAGUGGGGGCAACCCUGAUCCAGCAAUGCCGCGUGUGUGAAGAAGGCCUGAGGGUUGUAAAGCACUUUCAAUUGUGAAGAAAGGUUAAUAGUU